AAGAGAUUAUUUUAGGUAUCUGUGUUCAAUGAUAAAUAAAGAAGGUCAUAUAGAGGAUGAAUUUUCACAAAGAAUUAAAAUAGGAGGUGCGUCCGGAGUGCUGUGUGAUCAACGUAUUCUUUUAAAGCUUUGAGUGAUAAAACUAGGAAGGAUAAUGUAGGAAUGAUCAUAUUAGAUCUGAUUUGGGAGGUGCUCUAAUACAUGGCAAGCUACUAGCAAGUUGUUUAAGGUGGCAUGACCAUGUUCAACAUAGGCCUUUUGAUGCUCCAAUAUGAGGAGUGAUUUGAUUCAAACUGAAGGAACUAAAAGAGCUGGGGGCAGACCUAAAGUGACCUUAAGAGAAGUGGUGAGGAAAGGCAUGCAUAGCUUGGGCAUUGUAUCAAGUAUGACGUCGAAUAGAGCUGAUUGGAGUGCAAUAAUCCAUGUAGCGGACCAAAUGGGAUAAGGCUGAUUUUUUGUUGUUGUUGUUGUUGUUGUUGUUGUAUUGUUAUUAUUUGAUUUGCUAGUCUAUUACCCAUAGGUUUCUCUCACCAUAUUAUUAUUGGUUUAGAGCAGUAGAGAAGCGUAUCUUUUUAUAUCCUGUUAAACAACUUGGUUAACCAAACAACCCCACAAACUCCUAGGGUUUUCUACAUUUCUAUCAGGAUCUUAUCUGGGCCAGGUGUUUUGCCUGCUUUCAUCUUUCACAAGGCUUCUUUAAUUUCCGCCACACUAACCUUGUGUACGUAUCUGGCGUGUGGAGUCUUGUUGAGUAAAGCAAUCUUCUGGGUCAUUCCUACCCGAAGUAUCUUUUUUUAGUAGAGCACUAAUAUAUUCAUCUCAUCUCUUCACAAUGUCCUCAUCCCUUACCAUUACUCUUCCAUCAUCACCUAUUCACCUUUGAUACACCUCACCUGGUCAAAGUCCCUAUCCUCAUAUGGAUGGGCUGGAACAACAGGACAAAUUUGAAACUAAAAGUAAGAGGAAAACAGAGAUCAGAGGUUACUGACUUACUGUUACUGGAAUUAGAUAAUUAGAGAUAUAUCAACAGUGAUGGAUGAGGAACUUAAGUUAGGAAUCCAACCCAAAUUUGCAUUUCCAGACCAUCACAGAACCACCCCUAGUGGGUUUGACAGUUGCUGGAAAUUGAAAAGAAACUAGGAUAGAAAAGGAGGGAAAGAAGGGAAUCUGACCUGGCUUUACCACCACCCAAACCAAGGCUUUACCACCAUUUGGUGCUGCUGUUUCACCACAGUAGCUACCAAUUUCAUAAUGAAGAGACACAAAGGCUGAAUAGUAGAAAUCAUAGGGCAUAUGCUCCCCUUGCUUGUAUUUAUAAUAUUGGAGGCUGUGUUACAAGCUAACACAGAUUCUAUUUUGAACCAGAACCAAAACGUGGGCUACUUGGACCUGGUUCUUUUUCUUGGAGUGAACCGCAUCACUUGUUCAAUGCACGAGGGAUUUUUAUUGUACUUCAUUUCAUUCCUGUUUUCUGAGUGGAUAGUCCCCCCUGCCUAUGAUUAAUUCAUUGAACAUUGAAAAAGGAAGGAAUAGGCAGGGUUAAAACUUAAAUAGUUAAUUCAUUGAACGUUGGAAAAAAGAAAGAAUAGGCAGGGUUAAAUAGUGUAUGGUGAUUGAAGUUGGAAACACUCAAGUUUCAACGCCCUUUAAUUUAAGGUUUUGUGCUGAGCUCCAUCUCAGAUACUGGGUAGAAUGGAUAUUGUGCAGAUUAUUAUUUAUUUAUUUUUUGCAUGGUCUGCCUUACAGAGGACAAGUUUACGUCUCUGCAGGGGGAACCUUACAUGGUAAGAGGAAGGUUGAAACGUUGUUUGUUCAUGUGGCAGUUCAGUCUGGUUUGCUUCUUAUGUUCCAUCAUUUCUUUGGCAUUUGAUAAUGAGCUGAUUGACCAUGGAUCAGCUGAACGUUUAGAUUAUUAUUGGGGAUUUCAAUGUCAAGGUCGUCAUUUUUAAGGUCAUCAGUAUUUGAAUAUAUUUUUCUUGGUGGAACUUAUUAUUUGGUCCUCUAGACAUGGUUCACAGUUUUGCUGGAAUUUCGCGAAAUUGUGCAAAAUAUUUCAGAUUUGCAAGGGCUCGAAAUGAAAUACUAUGCGAUACCAGGGAAGCAAGGACCAUUGUCAAGGCAUUGCCUAGGUGUCUAGGCACCUUGGUUGCUUGGGUGGGUGCCUUGGACGUGUUGGUCGCCUUGCAUCUGGACCCCCUCCGAUGCCUUGGGUCACCUGGACGCCUUGGCAGUGAACCUUGGAAAACCCAGUUUUGGUGCCUUCUUAGCCAAAUCGUUGCUGUACAAGGUUGGAACAAGUAUUUGGGUAGUAGAGGAACGUGGUGGAAGCGACGAUUUGCUACGUUCUUGGAAGAUUUGUGUAAGAUUCAAAAUUGGAGGUAUAUCACUUUUCCUUAACACUAAUAUGAGGGUGUGGGUCAGUCAUACACUGGGUCAUCAUUUGUAGACAUCUUCUCGUUCCCAACCCCCCAACCAUUCAUAUUGGCGCCGGUACCGGUUCCAUAGGCACCAUCUAGUAGCAGUGGCUCUUGAUCGGGUUUCUCAUAGUUUGGACUUUGGAGAUCUAUGCCACAGCUUCCAUCCUGAAUCUGAUCGUGAUGUAGUACUACAUUUGAAAGAAUCAAAAUAGUAGCCAGUUGACAAAGAUCUAUACUCAAAGGAUGGUCCAAAUGCAAAUAAUGAAGAUUAAGAGUGAAAUAAGUAGCAACUAUGGAGGGAAAACAAAACAAUAACCGUGAGGGGAAAAACAGCAAUUUCCAACCCAAAAUUAGGGUAAUAAAACGCAAACAAUCUCUGAUUUCAAUAGUAAACUUAAACAACAAAUGGAGGCAAAACCGUAACUAUUUGAACACAAGACAAUAACUUUUUCCAGAUCUUGAGAAGGGAAUGACAAAAUUGGUAUUUUGCAAAUAUCUCAAGAUCAAGCCAUCAGAAAUGGCCUAAAUUUGAAUCGAUCUCCAAAUUAGGGUUAUUGAAUGCCUGUUCACAAUUUGAGUUCUAUGGAUGGCUGAAUUGCCUAAUCUGAAAAAAAAAAAAAAAAAAAAAAACGUGUGACAUCCAAAUUUCUAGAA